UAAAAUUAUUUUAAAUAAUAUAUUAGAAAUGAAAUGUUAUUCGUUUUUAAAGGUAUCUAGUUCUUUAAGAAAUAAAUUUAAUUUAGAAAUUUUAUAUUAUUUAAUUUAUUAUAUUAAUUAAAUAAAUAUUUAAUUUUAAUAUUUUAUGGGAUAAGCUAUAAAAUAAAAUUUUAAAAAUUAUUAAUUAAAUUUAAUAAAUAUAAACUUAUAAAUAGUUAUUAUUAGUAAAAAUGUUAUAAUUUAUUUUUUUUAUUAUAUUAUUUAUUUAUAUUUUAAAAAUUUUAUUAAAGUAUUUAUUUUAAUUUUGAAAAUAAAAUAAUAAUGAUAAAAUUAGUAUAUAAUAUUGUAUAAAUAAAUUUAAAUGAUAAGUUUUUAUAAAGAAUUCGGCAAAAAUAAUGUUCGCCUGUUUAACAAAAACAUGUCUUUUUGAAUUUUUUUUAAAGUCUGACCUGCCCACUGAAAUAAAUUUAAAUGGCCGCAGUAUUUUGACUGUGCAAAGGUAGCAUAAUCAUUAGUCUUUUAAUUGAAGGCUGGAAUGAAUGGUUGGACGAAAUAUUAACUGUUUCAUAAAAAUUUUUAUUAGAAUUUUAUUUUUUAGUUAAAAAGCUAAAAUUUAUUUAAAAGACGAGAAGACCCUAUAAAUCUUUAUAUUUAAAUUAUAAUUAUUUUUUAGAAUUAUUUUGUUAUUAUAAUUAAUAAUAUUUUAUUGGGGUGAUAUUAAAAUUUAAUAAACUUUUAAUUUUAUUUAUUCAUUAAUUUAUGAAUGAUUGAUCCGUUAUUAACGAUUAAAAAAAUAAGUUACUUUAGGGAUAACAGCGUAAUUUUUUUGGAGAGUUCAUAUCGAUAAAAAAGAUUGCGACCUCGAUGUUGGAUUAAGAUAUAAUUUUAGGUGUAGUAGCUUAAAUUUUAAGUCUGU
rnacentral:rRNA from 1 species